rnacentral:rRNA from 1 species
UAGGGAAUAUUGGUAAUGGGCGAAAGCCCGAUGCAGCAACGCCGCGUGGGCGAUGAAGGCCUUCGGGUCGUAAAGCCCUUUUUGAGGGGAUGAGGAAGGACAGUACCCUCAGAAUAAGCCUCGGCUAACUACGUGCCAGCAGCCGCGGUAAAACGUAGGAGGCGAGCGUUAUCCGGAUUUACUGGGCGUAAAGCGCGUGCAGGCGGAUUGGAGAGUUGGAUGUGAAAGCUCCCGGCUUAACUGGGAGAGGUCGUUCAAUACUUCCAGGCUUGAGUGCAGUAGAGGGAAGUGGAAUUCCGGGUGUAGUGGUGAAAUGCGUAGAUAUCCGGAGGAACACCAGUGGCGAAAGCGGCUUCCUGGACUGUAACUGACGCUCAGACGCGAAAGCUAGGGUAGCAAACG